GCAAAUGCCAGGGGAGCGCACUUAUCGGCUUUGUCCAGCCCUAGGGCUUAAAUUCCCUUGCCAAAAUUCUACACAAAAUUAAUUAUAAUCAAACUUGUGAGCUUAUCGAAUGUGCUGAAUUAUUAAUUAUUUAUUUGUGUCCAUCAAAGAUAUUUCCAUGCCUACAGCUUUAAGAGGGAAAUUAAGUUGGUUGGACUACAUAAUUGAAUACACAUUUGGUAAAUUUAAUGAAGAGCUAAUUAAUGUUUAAUUAAGGCUGCACUUUGCCUGCGACGACGGGGAACGCCUCUUGCUGGAUAUAAAGUGCCGCCCCAUCAACGCCCUCAACCGCAUGGCAAUGACGGCAACAACUCAUUAAAAAGCAAUUAAAAGAGUUUUUGUCGUUGUUUUAUAUUAUUGCCGGUGCCACUGCUACUGCUGUUACUGCUGUUACUGCUGCUGCUCUGCUGUUGGUGUCAUCUACGUGCGACAGGGGGCGUCUGAGGAGACACUCAAUAGCCGCUGGCUAUUCGCAAGGUCAACACGCACAGCAGUAAAUAUAUGUAUGCCCAGGAGGAGGCGGCGCAGAGACAGAGGCCUGUGGCAAACAAAAACAUAUUACGCAUACGCCACGAAGGACGCGCCAGGCGAACAAACAAGAAGGCGAACCCAGAACAAGCCACAGAACAAGGACAAGGUAAGAUGUACAGGACAGGACCAGUGACAGGGAAGAGGAGGCGGACACUGAGGGAAGACAGGAAGAGAUACAGAAAUGAACAAAGAUAAAGGGAAAGAUAAAGGAUAUAUGUAUGCAUAUAUGUACCUACUUGUAUAUAUAAAUUAUGCUUCCAAGAGGAUAGAAAACAUGGAUAAUUAUACAUAGAUACAUAGACACAAUGAUGAACUUCUGAAUUUGAAAACAGAAUCCAGCUAAUUUGUGAAAUAUGGAGCCAAAGGUUCACUAAUCCCAAGCAAAACCUAAAUAUGUAAAUCUGUAAAUCUGUAUUUAUUUGAAUUGAAGUCCCCAAACUUGAACUCUCUUCAAUCUGUUCUAACCAAAUAUAUAUGCCAAAAUAUGGCCAAUAUACGCAUCACCCAAAUAAAGCCCCACUCAUAAA